UACGGAGGGGGCGAGCGUUAUUCGGAAUUAUUGGGCGUAAAGGGCGCGUAGGCGGCUGUACAAGUCAAAGGUGAAAUCCCUCGGCUCAACUGAGGAACUGCCUUUGAAACUGUACGGCUUGAGGCCGGGAGGGGGUAGCGGAAUUCCCAGUGUAGCGGUGAAAUGCGUAGAUACUGGGAGGAACACCAGUGGCGAAGGCGGCUCUCUGGGACGGUACUGACGCUGAGACGCGAAAGCGUGGGGAGCGAACAGG
rnacentral:rRNA from 1 species